rnacentral:rRNA from 1 species
UACGGGGGGAGCAAGCGUUAUCCGGAUUCACUGGGUUUAAAGGGUGCGUAGGUGGAUUGGUAAGUCCGUGGUGAAAUCCCUGAGCUUAACUCAGGAACUGCCGUGGAUACUAUCAAUCUUGAAUACUGUGGAGGUAAGCGGAAUAUGUCAUGUAGCGGUGAAAUGCUUAGAUAUGACAUAGAACACCAAUUGCGAAGGCAGCUUGCUACACGGUUAUUGACACUGAGGCACGAAAGCGUGGGGAUCAAACAGG